CCUACGGGGUGCAGCAGUGAGGAAUAUUGGUCAAUGGACGAGAGUCUGAACCAGCCAAGUAGCGUGAAGGAUGACUGCCCUAUGGGUUGUAAACUUCUUUUAUAUGGGACUAAAAUGUUCCACGUGUGUGAUUUUGUAUGUACCAUAUGAAUAAGGAUCGGCUAACUCCGUGCCAGCAGCCGCGGUAAUACGGAGGAUCCGAGCGUUAUCCGGAUUUAUUGGGUUUAAAGGGAGCGUAGGUGGAUUGUUAAGUCAGUUGUGAAAGUUUGCGGCUCAACCGUAAAAUUGCAGUUGAAACUGGCAGUCUUGAGUACAGUAGAGGUGGGCGGAAGUCGUGGUGUAGCGGUGAAAUGCUUAGAUAUCACGAAGAACUCCGAUUGCGAAGGCAGUUCACUGGACUGCAACUGACACUGAGGCUCGAAAGUGUGGGUAUCAAACAGGAUUAGAUACCCGAGUAGUC
rnacentral:rRNA from 1 species